rnacentral:lncRNA from 10 species
AGAUGCCCGGAGCGGGCACCGGCACUGAGGGAAGGUGUGAGCUGCCGCCGAGGGUCCCAGGCGGAACGCGGGAAGGGAGCAGGCAAGGAGCAAAGUGGCGGCGGGAGCGGCAGCUGUGACCCCUGGAGGGGUUUAGUGUCCGGUCCACUCAAGGGAGAGUUUUAGACCAAGCAGGGCCGACUGCAUUUAUUAGACGCCCACAGCAUGCAGGGCGCUCCAAGAGGCUGGGGCGAGGAAAAUUAGAACCAAGUCUGCUACCCGCCGGGAACUUGUCGUAUUUCUGGCGAGGGAAGAGACAGCAUUCCCACGCCGAUGGUUCCAGCAAAGCCCCAGGAGUGCUGUUCCUGGUCUUGUAGUUGACGCCUCCAUCCGGGACUCACCUGGUGGAGAAAAUCGGGUUACCUGCAGAGUCCCGCUCUUUUCAGGUGCAGCCAAGGAUAGGGAGAUGAUACGUCUUAAAGAAUUAACAAGAUAAACCUUGGAGUAACGUAUGAAGAGUUGUUCAUACACUACUGUAUUUAUCUCAGGAGCAGAAAGAUAACAACUUUCUAAAGAUGUACCAUAUCCUUUGACCUUGUAACUAUACUGCUAAAAUUUUUUUUUUUAAGACAGGGUCUCCCUGUCACCCAGACUCACUGCAGUCCCAACUUCCCAGGCUCAGAUGAUCCUCCCACCUGAGCCUCUGCAGUAGCUGAGAUCACAGUAUGCACCACUACACCCCACUAAUUCUUUUAUUUUUGGUAAAGACACGUUUAGGAGGGACAUUUAGGUUUCUCUAUGUUGCCCAGGUUGGUCACGAACUCCUGACCUCAAAUGAUCUGCCUGCCUUGGCCUCCCGAAGUGCUGGGAUUACAGACCUGAGCCACCGCACUCAGCCCUAUUGUGUCCAGAAUUGGUGGGCUCUUGGUCUCACUGACUUCAAGAAUGAAGCCACAGACCCUGGUGGUGAGUGUUACAGCUUUUAAGGUGGCGUGUCAGGAGUUCGUUCCUUCUUGACCUUAAGAUGUGUUCGGAGUUUUUUCCUUUAGGUGGGUUCUUGGUCUCACUAGCUCGGGAGUGAAACUGCAGGCCUUGGUGGUGAGUGUUAUAGCUCUUAAGGCGACGUGUCCGGCGCUGUUCAUCCUUCCCGGUGAGCUUGUUGUCUUACUGCCUUUAGGAUAGAAACUGGAGACUUACGUGGUGAGUGUUACAGCUCAUAAAAACAGUGUGGACCCAAACAGCAAAAAACUGAAACUUCACACUGUGUAAAGAGACGCGAACGAGUUACCACUGCAGGCUCUGGCAGCCUGCUUUUAUUCUCUUAUCUGGCCCCACCCUCAUCCUGCUGAUUGGUAGAGCCAAGUGGUCUGUUUGGACAGGGCGCUGAUUGGUGUGUUUACAAUCCCUGAGCUAGAUACAAAGGUUCUCCACGUCACCAUCAGAUUAGUUAGAUACAGAGUAUGGACACAAAGGUUCCCCAAGGCCCCACCAGAGCAGCUAGAUACAGAGUGUCGAUUGGUGCAUUCACAAAUCCUGAGCUAGAUACAGAGUGUUGAUUGGUGCAUUCACAAAUCCUGAGCUAAACACAGGGUGCUGAUUGGUGUGUUUACAAACCUUGAGCUAGAUACAGAGUGCUGAUUGGUGUAUUUACAAUCCCUGAGCUA